UGUUCUUGCUUCUUGGGAAAUAGUAAAUUACACUGUCUAUCAAUACAAGCAGUUCUAGUAACCUAUGGCUUCUUCCCUUGAGAAAACCAACCAGUGUGUGAGUCUCUGAGACUUCCAGAGCUGCAUCUUAACCCAGGAUUAUGAGAGUACCUGCAGAGUGGAGACCACACCUGACUGGAUAUGUUCUGUUGUUUGCAUCUCAUUUGGUUUAUUUACUAAUCUCUCUACUUGUUUGUGGUUUUGGUAGUUUCAAUAUGCUUGGCUCAGGGAGUGGUACUAUUGAGAGGUGUGGCCUUGUUGGAGGAAGUGUGUCACUGUGAGUGUGACAUAUUUUUAGACCCUCUUCUAAACCAAAUGGGAGCCACUUUUCUUCAAGCAGCCUUCAGAUGAAGAUGUAGAGCUCUCAGCUCUUCCUAUGCCAUUCCUGUCUAGACAUAGUCAUGCUCCUACCUUGAUGAUAAUGGACUGAAUCUCUGAACCUGUAAGCCAGCCCCAAUUAAUCUUGCCCUUAUAAGAGUUGCCUUGGUCAUGGUAUCUGUUCAUAGCAGUAGAACUCUAAGACAGUGAUGAUGGUUCAACCAUGAGACUGGACAACUCUGUUGAAUUACAGUUUUUCUGUGCUAUGUUUAACUUUGGCCAGGUAUCUAUUUCCUAUGGAAACUCAGGAUUAGACAACAUUUAACCAUUCUACUUUUCAAAAGA
rnacentral:lncRNA from 1 species